UGAGUACAAGAUGCUACGGAUUGAAGCAGUCUAUGUCAUACUUCCAAGAAAAGCUUGCAAUGUCAUAAACAAAUAAUGCCUGUACCAUAACCGACACAGGUGGGUAGGUAGAGUAUACUAAGGGGCGCGAGAUAACUCUCUCUAAGGAACUCGGCAAAAUGACUCCGUAACUUCGGGAGAAGGAGUACCUUAUUUUAUAAGGUUGCAAUAACAAGGUCCAAGCAACUGUUUACCAAAAACACAGGUCUCCGCUAAGUCGUAAGACGAUGUAUGGGGGCUGACGCCUGCCCAGUGCCAGAAGGUUAAAGAAGUUGGUUAGCAUUAGCGAAGCUGAUAACUGAAGCCCUGGUGAACGGCGGCCGUAACAAUAACGGUCCUAAGGUAGCGAAAUUCCUUGUCGGGUAAGUUCCGACCCGCACGAAAGGCGUAAUGAUUUGGAUACUGUCUCGGAGAGGGGCUCGGUGAAAUAGACUUGUCUGUGAAGAUGCGGACUACCUGCACCUGGACAGAAAGACCCUAUGAAGCUUUACUGUAACUUGAGAUUGAAAUUGGACUUUAUUUGCGCAGUAUAGGUGGUAGACCUCGAAAGUAUUCUUGCGGGAAUAUUGGAGUCAUCAGUGAGAUACCACUCUUAUAAUGUUAGAUUUCUAACUUUGUAUCAUUAUCUGGUCAAAGAACAGUUUCAGGCGGGCAGUUUGACUGGGGCGGUCGCCUCCCAAAUGGUAACGGAGGCGCACAAAGGUUUCCUCUGAACGUGUAGAAAUCGUAUCUAGAGUGUAAAGGCAUAAGGAAGCUUGACUGUGAGACCUACAAGUCGAGCAGGGACGAAAGUCGGUCUUAGUGAUCUGACGGUGCUGAGUGGAAAGGCCGUCACUCAACGGAUAAAAGUUACUCUAGGAUAACAGGCUGAUCUCCCCCAAGAGUUCACAUCGACGGGGAGGUUUGGCACCUUGAUGUCGGCUCAUCGCAUCCUGGGGCGGUAGUACGUCCCAAGGGUUGGGCUGUUCGCCCAUGAAAGCGGUACGCGGGCUGGGUUCAGAACGUCGUGAGACAGUUCGGUCCAUAUCCGGUGUAGGCGUUAGAAUAUUGAGAGGAGCCUUCUUUAGUACGAGAGGACCGAGAAGGACAUACCUCUGGUGUACCAGUUAUCGUGCCAACGGUAAACGCUGGGUAGCUAUGUAUGGAGAGGAUAACCGCUGAAAGCAUCUAAGUGGGAAGCCCACCUCAAGAUAAG
rnacentral:rRNA from 1 species